UACGUAGGGUGCAAGCGUUGUCCGGAAUUAUUGGGCGUAAAGAGCUCGUAGGCGGUCUGUCGCGUCUGCUGUGAAAACUCAGGGCUUAACCCUGAGCUUGCAGUGGGUACGGGCAGACUAGAGUGCGGUAGGGGAGACUGGAAUUCCUGGUGUAGCGGUGAAAUGCGCAGAUAUCAGGAGGAAUACCGGUGGCGAAAGCGACUCUCUGGACGGCAACUGACGCUGAGGCACGAAAGCGUGGGGAGCAAACAGG
rnacentral:rRNA from 1 species